rnacentral:rRNA from 1 species
ACGGGAGGCAGCAGUGGGGGAUAUUGCACAAUGGGGGAAACCCUGAUGCAGCGACGCCGCGUGAGUGAAGAAGUAUUUCGGUAUGUAAAGCUCUAUCAGCAGGGAAGAAAAUGACGGUACCUGACUAAGAAGCUCCGGCUAAAUACGUGCCAGCAGCCGCGGUAAUACGUAUGGAGCAAGCGUUAUCCGGAUUUACUGGGUGUAAAGGGAGCGUAGACGGCGAGGCAAGUCUGAUGUGAAAGCCAUGGGCCCAACCCAUGAACUGCAUUGGAAACUGUCUUGCUAGAGUGUCGGAGAGGUAAGCGGAAUUCCUAGUGUAGCGGUGAAAUGCGUAGAUAUUAGGAGGAACACCAGUGGCGAAGGCGGCUUACUGGACGAUAACUGACGUUGAGGCUCGAAAGCGUGGGGAGCAAACAGGAUUAGAUACCCUGGUA